rnacentral:rRNA from 1 species
GGGCUUGCUGGGGCCACUCGCCAGCUUUCAAAGGAUAUGCGAAUACUCUCGGAGAAGAACAGUGUGAUAUCUCGGGAGCUGGAGCAGUGUCGGACGCAGCCGACUGCUGCUACUGCCGAACUGGAGAAGUCCAAGGAGGCACCGACUGGAUCGGUGGCACAACUAGAAGAGAAACUGAAGGCCGUGCAAGCGGACAAGGAACAUGCUGAAAGGCAAGAGGCCGCUGGUCAGCGUGUACUAACACGGACCAGGGACGAGAAGAACGAGAUGCAGGACGCCAACACCCAGCUCGGCAAAGAG